UCUGCCCUGGAAACAUCUGGCCUAGCUUCCUAUUGUGGCCUUGUCCACCCUCAGGGCUCCCCUUCUUCUGCCCAUCUUUAUUCUUUCUCCUUGUCUUCCUUUAGCUUCUUCCCCAAGCCUCUGGCAGAGACCAAGCUUAGUGCCAGGGUCAGGGAGAAGGCACAAUUUUCUUUUGGGGGAGACUGGGUGGUGUGGAGGGGAUGGGAAAUACAGCGUGGAGGUCAAGAGCAAUGUCUGCUUUCUAGCCAUGUGACCUUGAGCUUCAGUUUCUUCCUCAGUGUCGAGAACCAACAGGGGUGCAGGCCCACUGGGGUCCCGCCAGUAAUGCUCAUUCGGAAAGCAAGAUCUGAGAGCCCAGCGCUGGGAGAUGCUUUGUGCGCUGCCCUGGGCCAGAUAAUCAGGCUCGGGGUGCCAGGAUCACAAGUGCAGCCAGUAGAGCCACGUGUUCCUGAAUAAAAGAAAAAUAUCAAGAGAUGACCACAGGUGUCUGACUUUCCUCCCUGGUGGAAGGGCCAGGGCUGUUGUGAGGAUUCAAAGCUAUUUACAUCACGCUCAGGGCGUCUGCAUGGCACACGGGCCUGUGGUCCAUCUUUCAGUAUCAGAGAAUACGUGACUGUUGGAAGCUUGUUUGCGCAGAAGCACUAGACUGAGCCCGAGGAGGGUGGGGGCUGAGACUGCCUUGUGGACGUCCAUCAUUCCCGAGAGCCUGGCACGUGCGAGUAAAUCAGUGACCAUUUGAAUAAAAGGGUGAAUAGGUG
rnacentral:lncRNA from 1 species